CCGCCCCCGCCGUCCCCCCGCGGAUCCCGACCCCGGCGGCGACCACCCCCACCCCACAAAGAACGGCGGGGCGGGGGCGGGGCGGGGCGGGGGCCCGGCUUACCGUGAUGUGCGGAAUGCUCUUCUUGCCUUGGUGGAGAAGCUGAGGUUCAAGAGGGCAAAGGGCCUCGGCUGGAAACAGGGGUUACCGGUACCGACCCGGGCAUCUGGAUCCGCAGCCCUGAAGUCUCCCGCUCGCGCUCAGAAGCCUGAACCCCAAACAGGGUCGACCACGAGGGAAGCAAGUGGUCAGGGAGAAUAAGAAGGGGGCGCCGACUUCAGGACCACGGAGAGUUCCCGAGCUCCGGGGGCGGAAGGCCGAGAGCCCGAGGAUGGGAGCAGGAGAUCCCGUACUGCGUCCAAGCAGCCGCAGGCCGGCCCAGCCCCCACUCCUCCAGGAAGCCCUCCCAGAUUUCCGUCUGGAUCGAGCUCUGCUUCCUCCCGCUCACUUUAUGCCUCUCAUAGUAUUUAAGGGGAGAAGGGGCAAUAAAA